CAAAACAAGAGAACGACAUAACAGAACCGGAAAAAAGAACAGAACAAAGUUUAUAACAAUAGAACCGGACAAACGAACUAAACAGAGAACAAGCCAAAUUCUGAAAAUUACACGAGUAGAAUUAUUUGGGAAACGAUUAUUUUAGAAAAUAUUCAUGAAUAUAUUGGAGAAAGCAUUUACAAAAGAAUUAUGAUUAGUUUGAGAGAAGUUGUUUCCCACAGGACAGACUCAGAGAAGAUUCGUUAUUAUACUUCUAUAUACUUGAUAUGCAUUUCACGUAUGAUUUAACAUACUCCUCUUAAGCUUGUUCUUAGUUUCCAAUACAAGAAGAUAGAGGAGGAGAAGAAGAAGAAGAAGAAGAAGAAGAAGGAAAAAAACCAAUAACAAAGUUGUACAAGAACUAUAAAAAUAUAACAAAAGAACUAAACAGAUACAAUUUGAAAGAAUAAAAUUAAAAGAAAAAGAUAGAUUUUACUAUUUUUUUUGUUCUAAAUAUGAGUAUUAUAAUAAAUUCUAUUCUUAACAGAAGUGACAUAUUUUCCAAUAUUGUGCAACAGCCGGACAUCAAAGACGUCGAAAUCGAGAGAUCCCAAAGCUGACAAAGAAAUAAUGUUAUUUUAAAUAAAAAUAUCAAAAUAUCAUACUUUGCUUUAUUCUAUCGAGGGAAAAAUAGUUUGAUUCAAUUUAUUUUUAGAGCCACCAGUGAUUAAGUGGAUAAAACCAUUGAAAACUGGUUCGCAUCUGACGUAAUAGCUGGUCACUUGGAGUUUUUACAUUUUCUUCACUUGUAUAACGCCUAAAUAGGGGAUCAGUUUUCCUAGACAGUCCUUCAGGAAGGACUUUCCAUACGGAUUUUGGGUUUCUUUGUGAUACAGCAAUCCAAAACUAAACUCAUUUUACGUUUCUAUUCUGAUAUUUUUCA